rnacentral:rRNA from 1 species
GACGAACGCUGGCGGCGUGCUUAACACAUGCAAGUCGAACGGAAAGGCCAUGAUUUUGUGGGGUGCACGAGUGGCGAACGGGUGAGUAACACGUGAGUAAAAUGCCCUUGAAUUUGGGAUAACUUCAGGAAAAUGGGGCUAAUACCGGAUAGGAGCUCCUGCUGCAUGGUGGGGGUUGGAAAGUUUCGGCGGUUGGGGAUGGACUCGCGGCUUAUCAGCUUGUUGGUGGGGUAGUGGCUUACCAAGGCUUUGACGGGUAGCCGGCGUGAGAGGGUGACCAGGCACAAUGGGACUGAGAUACGGCCCAGACUCCUACGGGAGGCAGCAGUCGGGAAUAUUGCACAAUGGGCGGAAGCCAGAUGCAGCAACGCCGCGUGCGGGAUGACGUCCUUCGGGUUGUAAACCGCUUUCGCCUGUGACGAAGCGUGAGUGACGGUAAUGGGUAAAGAAGCACCGGCUAACUACGUG